GUUUUCAACAUAAAUCAAAAUGGCGGACAGGAAGUUCAGCGUACUCUGGCAUAUUUGGUAUCUAUGUUGUCGGCAUAAGCCAAGGACUAUUUUGAUACCAGUUUCAUUGCAAUAGGCUAAUGCAAUAAAAAGUUAUUAGCAUUUUUAUAUAUGUAAUUAUUAAUGGUUAAUGAAUGGUUUAUUACUCUUGACCAAUAAGUGGCGCUGUUACCAAAUUGAUGUGGCAUGGUCAGUGUGAGGUGACAAUGGCACCUACAAAGUUUGGUGCAAAAAUGUCAAAGCUUUGCCGAGAUACAGCCUCAGAUGUGUUUUGGCAUCUUACGAACAAAUUCGUUGAUGCGCUAAACGAAAACCGUUUUGUAUAUCAACACGAAUUCCAUAACUUUUUGUCAGCUUGGUCUGAAGAUGAUCCGAACCAAAUUUGGUGAAAAUCGGACUAACGGUCUAGGAGGAGUUCGAAAAAGUAGGUUUUCAACAUAAAUCAAAAUGGCGGACAGGAAGUUCAGCGUACUCUGGCAUAUUUGGUAUCUAUGUUGUCG
ensembl:lncRNA